UAUUUUGUUACUCAGUUAGAUCGGCUAAGAUAGCAAAGCAAACGUGAACUGUAACAGAAUAGGGAAACUCCGGUGCAAGUCCGGGGCUGUGCCGCAGCUGUAAACGAAUUUUAGAUUUUAGAUUAUUGCCAUCUAAAAUCCAAAAUUGCGUUAGCCAGAACGCCUAUUUAUUACCUGCUCACUCUA
rnacentral:ncRNA from 21 species